CGUUCUCCGAAAGCGGCGGACUGGUGAGUAACGCGUGGGUGACCUACCUUGAGGAUGGGGAUAGCCGUUAGAAAUAGCGGGUAAUACCGAAUACGAUGGAGUUGCUGUGGCAGCUUCAGGAAAGGAGCUACGUGCUCCGCCUUAAGAUGGGCCCGCGUCCCAUUAGCUAGUUGGGGGUGUAAAGGACCACCAAGGCGAAGAUGGGUAGCCGGCACUGAGAGGGUGAACGGCCACACUGGGACUGAGAUACGGCCAGACUCCUACGGGAGGCAGCAGCUAAGAAUAUUCCACAAUGGACGGAAGUCUGAUGGAGCGACGCCGCGUGGAUGAGGAAGGCCGAAAGGUUGUAAAAUCCUUUUAUUGCUGAAGAAUAAGUGCAGGCAGGGAAUGGCAGACACGAUGACGUUAGGCAAUGAAUAAAGCCCCGGCUAAUUAC
rnacentral:rRNA from 1 species